GCAGGCGGCUCGAUAAAUUAGAAGUGAAAGCCCCGGGCUUAACCUGGGAAUUGCUUUUAAGACUGUCGAGCUAGAAUCCAGAAGAGGGUAGUGGAAUUCCGAGUGUAGAGGUGAAAUUCGUAGAUAUUCGGAAGAACACCAGUGGCGAAGGCGACUACCUGGUCUGGCAUUGACGCUCAUGUGCGAAAGCGUGGGGAGCAAACAGGAUUAGAUACCCUGGUAGUCCACGCCGUAAACGAUGAGUGCUAGUUGUUGGGGACCAUAGGUCUUCAGUGACGCAGCUAACGCAUUAAGCACUCCGCCUGGGGAGUACGGCCGCAAGGUUAAAACUCAAAGGAAUUGA
rnacentral:rRNA from 1 species